rnacentral:rRNA from 1 species
AAAGGAGUGAAUAUUAUUGGUUAUGUAGUUAAAUGAUUUAUUUUCUUUAAUGAUAAUAUUUUUAGGUGAAAUUUUAAUUUUAUUUUAAUAGAAUUGGUUGAAGCUAUGAAAUUUAUUUUUAAACAAGGAUUAGAUACCCUUUUAUUUUAAAUGUUAAUUUAUAACCUGGGUAGUAAUAGUUAUGUUCUUGAAACUCAAAGAAUUUGGCGGUAUUUUAUUCUUUUUAGAGGAACCUGUCCCAUAAUUGAUAGUCCACGAUGAAAAUGUACUUAAUUUUGUAUUCAUUUUGUAUACCUCCGUCAUCAGGAUAUCUUUUUAGAGUAAAUUUUCUUAAUCUAUAAAAUAUAAUAUGUCAGGUCAAGGUGCAAUUUAUAGUUAAGUGGAGAUGGGUUACAAUAGAAUUAUUUAUAUGGAUUAAUAUAGUUAUUUAUAUUAUGAAGGUGGAUUUAAAAGUAAAAUUAUCUUUCUUGUUAAUUUGACUUUAGCUCUAAAAUAUGCACAUAUCGCCCGUCGCUCUUAUUUUAAAAUAAGAUAAGUCGUAACAUAGUAGGGGUACCGGAAGGUGUCUCUAGAAUGGUUA